rnacentral:rRNA from 1 species
GCCCGCUCAAGAAACUACAAAUGAAUUGACGGGGCCCGCACAAGCGGUGGAGCAUGUGGUUUAAUCGAUGAUACGCGAGGAACCUUACCUGGGCUCAAAUGUAUGUUGACGUAUUCUGAAAGGGAUACUUCUUCGGACAAUAUACAAGGUGCUGCAUGGUUGUCGUCAGCUCGUGCCGUGAGGUGUCGGGUUAAGUCCCAUAACGAGCGCAACCCCUAUCAUUAGUUGCCAUCGGGUCAAGCUGGGGACUCUAAUGAAACUGCCUACGCAAGUAGUGAGGAAGGUGGGGAUGACGUCAAAUCAGCACGGCCCUUACGUCCAGGGCUACACACGUGCUACAAUGGCCGGUACAAAGGGCAGCUACCUGGUGACAGGAUGCUAAUCUCAAAAGCCGGUCUCAGUUCGGAUCGGAGUCUGCAACCCGACUCCGUGAAGCUGGAAUCGCUAGUAAUCGCGCAUCAGCCAUGGCGCGGUGAAUACGUUCCCGGGCCUU